rnacentral:rRNA from 1 species
GACAGAGGGUGCAAACGUUGUUCGGAAUUACUGGGCGUAAAGCGUGUGUAGGCGGAUCGUUAAGUGUCUUGUGAAAUCCCACGGCUCACCCGUGGAACUGCUGGGCAUACUGGCGAUCUUGGGCCAACUAGGGGCAGCCGGAACAAGCGGUGGAGCGGUGAAAUGCGUAGAUAUCGCUUGGAACGCCGAAGGUGAAAACAGGCUGCUGGGGUUGUGCCGACGCUGGAGACACGAAAGCCAGGGGAGCAAACGGG